rnacentral:rRNA from 1 species
CCUACGGGGGGCAGCAGUGGGGAAUAUUGCACAAUGGGCGAAAGCCUGAUGCAGCAACGCCGUGUGAAUGAAGAAGGCCUUAGGGUCGUAAAAUUCUGUCCUAAGGGAAGAAAAAGAUGACGGUACCUUAGGAGGAAGCCCCGGCUAACUACGUGCCAGCAGCCGCGGUAAUACGUAGGGGGCAAGCGUUAUCCGGAAUUAUUGGGCGUAAAGAGUACGUAGGUGGCUAUAUAAGCGCAUGGUGAAAGGCAGAGGCUUAACCACUGUUAGCCUUGCGAACUGUAUAGCUUGAGUGCAGGAGAGGGAAGCGGAAUUCCUAGUGUAGCGGUGAAAUGCGUAGAUAUUAGGAGGAACACCAGUGGCGAAGGCGGCUUUCUGGACUGUAACUGACACUGAGGUACGAAAGCGUGGGGAGCAAACAGGAUUAGAUACCCGGGUAGUC